GAUGAAUGCUGGCGGCGUGCCUAACACAUGCAAGUCGAGCGGCAGCGAGGGGUGCUUGCACCCUGUCGGCGAGCGGCGAACGGCUGAGUAACGCGUAGGAAUUUGCCCCAAAGUGAGGAAUAACUGCCCGAAAGGGUAGCUAAUGCCGCAUAUGGUCUUCGGAUUAAAGGAUUUAUCCGCCUUGGGAGAAGCCUGCGUUGGAUUAGGUUGUUGGUAGGGUAAUGGCCUACCAAGCCGACGAUCCAUAGCUGGUCUGAGAGGAUGAUCAGCCAGACUGGAACUGAGACACGGUCCAGACUCCUACGGGAGGCAGCAGUGAGGAAUCUUCCACAAUGGGCGAAAGCCUGAUGGAGCAACGCCGCGUGAAGGAUGAAGGCCUUCGGGUUGUAAACUUCUUUUAUGAGUGAAGAAUAUGACGGUAACUCAUGAAUAAGCACCGGCUAACUACGUG
rnacentral:rRNA from 1 species